ACCUGCGGAAAAGGGCGCCUCUUGCCCGACAGUCGGGCACUUGCCCGAAAGUAACACAGACACGUGUACUUGUUUUUAUUUGUCGUGCCAGUCCUCCAUCUGGGAUUGAGGAGGAAGCUGCUGAAAAUGGUGUUCCUAAACCAGUAACAUAAGGCUUUGGAAUUCAGUCGCUUCCGUAUUUAAAAUCUGUAGAUUUCUAGCUAAGAAGAAAGUCUACAUUCAGCUAGACUUUGGAGUAUCCUGCACAAUCUCGCUGUCAGAAAGUGACUGAAACUGAAUAUGAUAGUGACAGUGAUGAUGAUGAGGAUGAUGUUCAUGUCACUAUCGGAGACAUUAUAACGGGAGCACCACAAUAUGGCCCCGGUAGUGAAGAUUCUUCUAUCUCACCAUGGAGCCCUUAAACCUUGUGUAAGAGAUUACUAAGACGUUACAGGAGUUACGGAAAAGCACCAGUGAAUCUUAAUAUCAAGACAGGAGGAAGAGUUUAUGGAACUACAGGAACAAAAGUCAAAGGGGUAGAGCUCGAUGCACCUAGAAGUAUUAAUGGAGUUCCACUCUUGGAGGUAGAUUUGGAUUCUUUUGAAGAUAAACCAUGGUGUGAACCUGGCGCGGACCUUUCUGAUUAUUUAAUUAUGGGUUUAACGAAGAUACCUGGAACGCUUACUGUGAAAAACAAAAAAGGAUACGAAUGGGGCUUGAAGUUAUAGCAGUUACCUCAAUUACAAAUAUAUUUAUGGUAAUUAGUAAACAUUUCAAAAUACUCCUGUCUUUUCUAUUUUCUAUUCACUUUUUUUCCCUAAUCACUUUUUCCCCAUAAAGGUGAUUAAAUACUG